CUACCGCAGGAAUUCUCAGUUUUCAAAAUUCAUACUUGUCUGGGCUCUACCACUCAUGUUCUAAAAGUACCUGUUGGGAUCUACCGCAGGUAUUCUCAGUUUUCAAAAUUCAUACUUGUCUGGGAUCUACCACUCAGGUUCUAAAAGUACCUGUUGGGAUCUACCGCAGGUAUUCUCAUUUUUCAAAUUUAUACCUGUCUGGGUUCUACCAGUCAGGUUCUAAAAUAAAUUUUUCACCUGUCAGGGCUCUACUGCAUGUUCUUAAAAUUGCAUAAUUUAGGCAAUUUAUUUUUUAAUUAAUUUAAAAUUAUGUUGAGUAGGUAGUGUUUUUGAUUUGGUUAUUUUAAUUAGUAUUAUUGUAAGUUUUAAUGAGUAGCCCCCUAGAAAGCCAAAUGAUACAUUUAUUAUUAUUUUCAUAUGUAUUCAGUAUAUUAGAUUUAGAAUUGAUUGUGAAUAUGAUACUAUUAUACUGUGUAUACAAUGGUGUCUUAGUAUAUUAGUUUGUUAAUAAAAUUAGAAUAGUUA